ACUCCAUCAUCCACCAUUAUAUAUAAAAUAUAUUGAGUUUUCAAAAAUAAUUUUAAAAAAAAUCAAUAGCUUAAAAUAGAAGCUUUCAUUUUCCUCCAAAAAACUCCGAUUCCGGCCACUUUUUCGGCGUUAUUUUCCGGCGACCAGCUUUAAAUCAGUCCACAAACAUCAUAACCUUGUCCAUUGCAUUGCAUUCAUUGUUACCCCAUUUGUUUUCUAUCUUCUCAAACACACUUUUCACCAUUGUUAAAAAGUUUAAAUCACUCACAUUACUCAAAACCACUUUAGAAAGUAUAUUACAACAGC
rnacentral:lncRNA from 1 species